ensembl:lncRNA
AGGAUUGUGAAAUCCUCUAAGGAGCACAGAUGGACAAGGCCGGGGCAACGAGAGAGAGAUAAGCUGCUGCUAAUGGCCGGGAAACGGUCUUUUUGUGUGGACUUAUCUCGAGGAAGAUGGCCAUCUCAGGAGGAAUGCACAGGACUCUUGCUCAAGCACCCAGGAAUGUCACGUAGGCAGCAGAAAAUGGAGGAUAAAAGAGGGUCCAACAACCACAACGGUAGAGGCUUAUCUCUCACCACGACAGACUUGAGGGGUUCUCUGCCAUCUGAUCCUUCACCGCAACGUGGAGGCUGAUCUCUCAUGACGACACGAGCUUUCUGCCUUCAGAUCCUUCUCUACGGACGGUUUGCUGACGGACUUCCCUGGCCCCGCUACCUGAGACCUGCUGCUUCCUCCCUGACUUAUUCGGCAGCUUCUUCCUGGACCCACCCGGUACCUGCACCCUCUCGUUGCCCAAGACCGGCCUCGCUGCUCCUGCCCUUCGGCCUCGGACCGUCGGAACGUCGUGCAACGGGACUGCUGCUGGAUCCUGGUGGUGACUAUCCCCGCUUUAUGCAAUUCUUGCCUCUUUCUAUCUUUUCUAUCGCUCGCCUUCCCUUCUCCAUCACCCCAAUCCUUAAUAGUGUCCGUCCUCCCCUUUCUUCAUCUCCCUUACUAACAUUUGUAAUAAACUGGUCGGACCAACAUUUGAACCGUUGUUUCUUAAUCUCACGCCGGGCAUACAUAUUUCAAAGAACCUCCUCUCCCUCCUAUAAAUUGGAGCAAGACAUACAUUGACUAAAAUCAGUCAGCCUUAC